rnacentral:sRNA from 1 species
GUUGGGUGCAGUGGCCUGUGCCUGUAGCCCCAGCUACUCGAGAGGCUGAGGCAGGAGAAUCUCUUGAGCCCAGGAAUUUGAUACCAGCCUGGGCAAGAGAGUGAGUCCCUGUUGUU